rnacentral:rRNA from 1 species
AGAGUUUUGAUCAUGGCUCAGGAUGAACGCUAGCUACAGGCUUAACACAUGCAAGUCGAGGGGCAGCAUGAAGUUUGCUUGCAAACUUUGAUGGCGACCGGCGCACGGGUGAGUAACGCGUAUCCAACCUUCCCCUUACUAGGGAAUAGCCCGGCGAAAGUCGGAUUAAUGCUCUAUGUUGUAUUUCGAUGACAUCUGAAGAAUACCAAAGGUUCACCGCUAUGGGAUGGGGAUGCGUCUGAUUAGGUUGUUGGCGGGGUAACGGCCCACCAAGCCCGCGAUCAGUAGGGGUUCUGAGAGGAAGGUCCCCCACAUUGGAACUGAGACACGGUCCAAACUCC